GGGGCCAUGAAAAACAGAGAUGUGUAGUGUAUCUGCAGCUGUCAUUCAACACAUCAACAGCCCAGAGAGGAGGUGUCGCUCUGCAGCUGUGUCACCAUCCUGUCCGACAUGACAGCUUCCUCUCAGGAGUAUGAGGUGAUAGUCCACACCUCACCUGGCCCCACCUGUGGAACCUUCAAUCGCCUUUGGCUCAAUCUGAUUGGCUCACAAGGGGAGACUCUGCCCAUCAGCGUGAACGAAGGUGACCAUCAUCUGCUGCCUGGAUCAAUAUGUCCAGUUCUGGUCCGGGCCAAUGGGCCUCUGGGUUGUCUGGUUCUGAUUCGGCUUCAUCUGGAGGCUCGGACUGGAUUUCCCAAUCUGGACUGGCACUGCAGCCAUGUGGAGGUCCGCAGGCUGGCAGACAGACAGGCUGUGGAGGGAGGGCGAGGUGGGACUGGACCUGAGGAUGCAGCAGUCCAGGUGUUCCUGUGUGACAGGUGGCUGCGAACAGCAGACGGAAACGUAGAGCUCUGGAGUGGAAAGUUGUGUUUGCUGAAGGACGAGACAGAAGAGAAACGGAGGCAGCAGCGACUCAGACAGCUGCAGCAUCAACAGAAGCUCAUCAGAUGGCGUAAGUUCAUCGAUGGCGCUCCACAGUGCGUUGACCUGAACAGUCUCUCUGAACUCGGGCCAAACCUCAGCUACACAAACAAGAGUCCAGCCCCUAACCUGCACUACCUGAAAGGCUUUGCCACCCGAGUGGAGGCCUGGAGGAGUUUCGCAGAGCUGGAGACUGUUUUUGCCCACAGUGGACACAAGAACAAUAUUGCCAGGUUUGUUAAGGCUCACUGGAAGGAGGACUGGUAUUUUGGCUACCAGUGUCUGAAUGGCUGCAACCCUCUGCUGCUACGUCGGACCCGCCUCCUCCCUCCAAAUCUGUCUGUCACCUGUGACAUGCUCCGCCCCUUCCUGCCUGAAGGCUCCUCCCUUGAGCGGGAGCUAGAGAAAGGGACCGUUUACCUGUUGGACUAUGAGGUUUUGGAAGGCGUCCCAGCCAAUGUGAUCAAUGGGAAGCAGACGUACCUGUCUGCUCCGCUGUGCCUCCUUCACCUGAACCAGCAGGGACAGCUGCUCCCCAUCGCCAUCCAGUUGCAGCAGACACCCGGUCCUCAGAACCCGGUCUUCCUGCCCUCUGACGACAGCUGUGAUUGGCUGCUGGCAAAGAUUUGGGUUCACAACGCAGACUUCCAGUGUCACCAGUUGGCCUCCCACUACCUGAGGACUCACAUGCUGGGGGAGCUGUGCUGCGUGGCCACGCUGCGACAGCUCCCAGAGCUGCACCCGCUGCACCAGCUGCUGAUGCCACACGUCCGGUCUUCACUACAGAUCAAUUUGCAGGCCAGAGCUUCGCUGCUGGCUGCUGACGGCGUCUUUGAUAAGGCGACCGGCUCUGGUCUCCAGACCAUACCUAUUCUUGUCUCCCGGGCGUCUGAGAGGAUUAAUUAUCGAUCCCUGUGUGUGCCUGAUGACCUGAUGGACCGUGGUGUGGACAAACUGCCACAAAGCUACUACGCCCAGGAUGCACUGAGACUCUGGGAUGUACUGCACAGGUUUGUGGUCAGCUGGGUGGAUGUGUAUUACAGUGGCGACCAUGAUGUGCAGCAGGACUCUGAGCUUCAACACUGGAUCACCGACAUCAACACACACGGAUUCACACACGACUCAGGUUUCCCUCAGUCUUUCCAGACUAAAGCAGAAGUGUCCAAGUUUGUCACCAUGAUCAUCUUCUCCUGUUCAGCUCUACACGCAGCUGUGAAUUUCUCCCAGUUGGAUUUCAGCCUCUGGAUGCCAAACUGUCCAGCCUCCAUGUUGCGUCCUCCUCCGCAGGUCAAAGGUGCAGUGACGGAGGACGACAUCAUAUCCUUCCUGCCGGAUGUGAACUCCACCUGCCGCGUCCUCAUGGUGCUGUCUCUGCUGUCGCAGCCCACCGCCAACUUUGUUCCUCUGUGUCAGUACAAGGAGGCCGUCUUCAGAGAUAGCACCCACCGCAGGCUGGUGGAGGAGGUGCAGGCUGAACUCAAGGCCAUUUCUGAUUAUAUCAUGGAGCGCAACAGCCAAUUGGAGCUGCCGUAUCCUUACCUCUGUCCAGGAGGCAUCGAGAACAGUGUGGCCAUUUAAAUCACGUCUUAAACAUUAUCCAACAGCAGUGGUUAUUGAAAAAAAAAAUUAAACUGUGUAACUAUCAGUGAUUUUAACAUAUACCUGAUGAAUCUGCAUCAUUUUGUUGUUUAAACCUUAAACGUUCUGGCCAGUUUUUAACUUUUGCAAAAAUUAAUUCAUUUUACUUAUUUGCCAAGUAGAUUACUGAUAUAAAACCUCUGAGACAAUCUCAUCUGAUUGGUUAUUUCUACAAAAAUCAGCUUGUAGAGGGCUGAGUUCCAUGAGUCACGUCUGCUGUAUUGUUACGGGCUCUUACUCAAGCUAACAUAAAAAGAAAUAACUGCAGAUUUUGAGUUUCAGGUGUCUGUAAAUUGAUUAUAAUGGAAAUAAACUGAAACAUGAGAAGGAAAACACAAAGUGUGAAACCCUGCAGCUCGUUUUUUGGAAAUAAAAUGAUUUGUAGUUAAAAAGCUUUAUAUGCACAAACAAAUUUUCCGACAGGAAAACUGUGACUUUCAUGAGAUAAUUUCCCAUCAUUCGUGUUUUACUGAUGAAAAUAAACACAUAAGCAACAUUUGAGCGCUGCAGUAAUCACACAUUUAUCUGCAGUUGGUGAGGAUUAAUCAUUUGUGAAACGGUCAACAGCUGCAGAAUAUCAAACGUACAGAGCAGGACUUCAAACUGCAUUACAUAUAUUAUUACUGAUUUAAAUACGUUUAUUUCCUACAUGCAGUAUAUUUCUUCAUCGUGUGUUUUUUUUUAUUCUGAAGGCACGCCUGUCGAAAUGAAAACACUAAUAAUACAGCAGCGGUACUGAAAACUACAGUGAAAUGACAAAAAUGGUAAAUUAAUUACCAUGAAUUCCAAUUAGGCUUCUGAAUCCAGACUCAUCCGUCCUCAUCUGUGACGCUAACGGACUAGCCUCUGUUAGCUCAAGCAGCUACAAGCUAGUUGCUGCAGUAUGGUUCAUCAGGCCAAACAUCAUUACACUUUUACUUUACACAAUUAUUACUCAAAGUGGAGAACUAUUAUCAAUAAAUAUGAUGCCACUUUCAAAAGUCAUGAUAGCUUUGAUGUGAAUGUCUGAACCACAUUUCAUCACAAUCUGUCCGAUAGCUGUUGAGAUAUUUCAGUCUUGAGCAGAGUGGUGAACAGACGGCUGCACUGUUAAUAUGACUAAAAAUACUAAAGUUGGUUUUCUGAAGUAUUCAGAAAGCACAUUCGAUGUAAACACAUGAGAUUGUGAAAUGAAGGCAACAGAAAGCUGUGAUCAGGUGUUAUUUGACAUUACAUGACAUCAGACAUGUCGACGGAACCUGUCGAUACUGAUUGUGAACAGACUGAUGAUAACACUGAAAUAAAAGAUGGCAGUUUCCUUUAUCCACUGAGCAGAUUCUCUCCAGUGUUUCAGCUUUAUCUCUUUGUCUGACAGGAUCCACCACCAGGACUUUACACUCCCUCUUGGCGAUCUUGUCCAGCGACAGCAGCGUUUUGUCCUGCGGCGGCAGGUAAAGCGGCCGACCGACCGGAGAGCCAACAGGAGGAGUGAUGGCACGCCGCUCCAUGGCACUGCCCGUCCUGACACACACACACACACACACACAUAUAUCUGUUCAUACGUAUGUAAUAAAUAUCCUAAAAAUUGUGUGAAAUGCUGUCAGAAUAACCCAGAGCCCAAAGUGAAAGAUUCUCAGUGUUUGUUUUGUCCAACCAACAGUCCAAACCUCAAUAUUGUUAAAACUACAACCCCAAGUCAGGACGCUGUGUAAAACGUAAAUAAAACAGAAUGUGAAAAUGUACUCAUUGUUUUUAUCCUUA